rnacentral:sRNA from 1 species
GCCAGGUGUGGUGGUGCACUCCUGUAAUCCCAGCAGCUCAGGAGGCUGAGACAGGAGGAUUGUGAGUUCUAAGUCAGCCUCAGCAAAAAGCGAGGUGCUAAGUAAUUGAGACCCUAAGUCAUUGAGACCCUGCCUCUA